rnacentral:lncRNA from 1 species
GCAGUUCUAUUUGCUGUUCUCCUCCUCCCAUUCCUAACAAGCCGUGUACAGUUGUGGAUCCCCCCAGAUGAACUUGAUGGCUGAAGUAGUGUAUGAGUCAAGCUUUUCUCCAAAGACACCUGAAUUCACCCCAGGCUCCUCUACUCCUCUACUUGGAUACAAGGACAGAAAAAUUCCCUGCUCAGUGGAGCUGAGAAGACUGAUGGUGCAGUGCUUCUACAAGCGUCACCAAAGGGACAUAACCUUCUUGAAGUGCUGGUGUGUCUGGAACAAAGAAUUGUUGGAAUGUAAUGACAGUUUGGCCACCUCAUGCGAAGAGUUGACUCAUUGGAAAAGACUCUGAUGCUGGGAGGGAUUGGGGGCAGGAGGAGAAGGGGACGACAGAGGAUGAGAUGGCUGGAUGGCAUCACCGACUUGAUGGACAUGAGUUUGAGUGAACUCCGGGAGUUGGUGAUCGACAGGGAGGCCUGGCGUGCUGCGAUUCAUGGGGUCGCAAAGAGUCGGACACGACUGAGCGACUGAACUGAACUGAAUGACAGUCUUUCACGACCACACACAAAACUGUCCUCCUUUUGGUAAAUGACUCCAGACCCUACACCUACUGGAUAUUCUAUAACUCAGUUUUCCUUUUUAUUGUUGAUGGACACAUAGAGGGUCUCAAUCUUGCUUUUUAAAAGAAUGAAUAGUCAGUCAAUCACUCUUGCUCAUUUGCGUAGAUAUUUACAUAAGGUAGAUAUCUGAAAGUAGCAUAAUGUGACCAAUUUUCACAUUUAAAUUUAAGAUUUUCAUAGACAGGCUUCCCAGGUGACAAUAGAGGUAAAGAAUCUCCUGCCAAUGCAAGAGACAUAAAAAAUGUGGGUUCAAUUAAUGGGUCAGGAAGAUCCCCUGGAGAAGGAAAUGGCAACCCACUCCAGUAUUCUUGCCUGGAGAAUCCCAUGCACAGAGGAGCCUGGUGGGCUACAGUCCAUGCGAUCACAGAGCUGGACAUGACUGAAGUGACUGAGCAUGCAUAGUCUACCAAUGAUUUUCAAAACAAGUCUUGAUAAUUUACUGUCCUGCCAAUAAUGUAGAAGAUAUGUGUUUGAUAAAGUUCAAUAUUCUUGUUCUUUUAAUUUUUGGCAGUCUAAUAGAUUUAAAGUGUUACCAUGUUUUGUGAGUAUCUUAAUAUAUUUAUCAGCUUCCCAGGUGGCUCAGUGGUAAAGAAUUUGCCUGCCAAGCAGGAGACACACAGGAGAUGUGGCUUCGAUCUCUGGGUCAGGAAGAUACCCUGGAGAAGGAAAUGGCAACCCACUGCAGGAUUCUUGCCUGGGAAAUCCCAUAGACAGAUAAGCCUGAUGGGCUAU